rnacentral:rRNA from 1 species
UACGUAGGGGGCAAGCGUUAUCCGGAAUCAUUGGGCGUAAAGCGCGCGUAGGCGGCCCGGUAAGUCCGCUGUGAAAGUCAAAGGCUCAACCUUUGAAUGUCAGCGGAUACUGCCGGGCUAGAGUCCGGAAGAGGCGAGUGGAACUCCUGGUGUAGCGGUGGAAUGCGCAGAUAUCAGGAAGAACACCAACGGCGAAGGCAGCUCGCUGGGACGGAACUGACGCUAAGGCGCGAAAGCGUGGGGAGCGAACAGG